GCAUGCGCUGCUUACCAUGCAGUCGAACGGUGAACACGGAGCUUGCUCUGUGGGAUCAGUGGCGAACGGGUGAGUAACACGUGAGCAACCUGCCCCUGACUCUGGGAUAAGCGCUGGAAACGGCGUCUAAUACUGGAUACGAGUAGCGGCCGCAUGGUCAGUUACUGGAAAGAUUUUUUGGUUGGGGAUGGGCUCGCGGCCUAUCAGCUUGUUGGUGAGGUAAUGGCUCACCAAGGCGUCGACGGGUAGCCGGCCUGAGAGGGUGACCGGCCACACUGGGACUGAGACACGGCCCAGACUCCUACGGGAGGCAGCAGUGGGGAAUAUUGCACAAUGGGCGAAAGCCUGAUGCAGCAACGCCGCGUGAGGGAUGACGGCCUUCGGGUUGUAAACCUCUUUUAGCAGGGAAGAAGCGAAAGUGACGGUACCUGCAGAAAAAGCGCCGGCUAACUACGUGCCAGCAGCCGCGGUAAUACGUAGGGCGCAAGCGUUAUCCGGAAUUAUUGGGCGUAAAGAGCUCGUAGGCGGUUUGUCGCGUCUGCUGUGAAAUCCCGAGGCUCAACCUCGGGCCUGCAGUGGGUACGGGCAGACUAGAGUGCGGUAGGGGAGAUUGGAAUUCCUGGUGUAGCGGUGGAAUGCGCAGAUAUCAGGAGGAACACCGAUGGCGAAGGCAGAUCUCUGGGCCGUAACUGACGCUGAGGAGCGAAAGGGUGGGGAGCAAACAGGCUUAGAUACCCUGGUAGUCCACCCCGUAAACGUUGGGAACUAGUUGUGGGGUCCAUUCCACGGAUUCCGUGACGCAGCUAACGCAUUAAGUUCCCCGCCCUGGGGAGUACGGCCGCAAGGCUAAAACUCAAAGGAAUUGACGGGGACCCGCACAAGCGGCGGAGCAUGCGGAUUAAUUCGAUGCAACGCGAAGAACCUUACCAAGGCUUGACAUAUACGAGAACGGGCCAGAAAUGGUCAACUCUUUGGGACACUCGUAAACAGGUGGUGGCAUGGGUUGUCGUCAGCUCGUGUCGUGAGAUGUUUGGGUUAAGUCCCGCAACGAGCGCAACCCUCGUUCUAUGUUGCCAGCACGUAAUGGUGGGACUCAUGGGAUACUGCCGGGGUCACUCGGAGAAGGNGGGGAUGACGUCAAUCAUCAUGCCCCUAUGUCUGGGCUNACGCAUGCUACCAUGGNCGGUACNANGNUGCANUACGCAGNUGANNGAUCCAAAAAGCCGGUUC
rnacentral:rRNA from 1 species